rnacentral:rRNA from 1 species
AUUGAACGCUGGCGGCAGGCCUAACACAUGCAAGUCGAGCGGAUGAAGGGAGCUUGCUCCUGGAUUCAGCGGCGGACGGGUGAGUAAUGCCUAGGAAUCUGCCUGGUAGUGGGGGAUAACGUCCGGAAACGGGCGCUAAUACCGCAUACGUCCUGAGGGAGAAAGUGGGGGAUCUUCGGACCUCACGCUAUCAGAUGAGCCUAGGUCGGAUUAGCUAGUUGGUGGGGUAAAGGCCUACCAAGGCGACGAUCCGUAACUGGUCUGAGAGGAUGAUCAGUCACACUGAAACUGAGACAGGGUCCAGAUCCUACGGGAGGCAGCAGUGGGGAAUAUUGGACAAUGGGCGAAAGCCUGAUCCAGCCAUGCCGCGUGUGUGAAGAAGGUCUUCGGAUUGUAAAGCACUUUAAGUUGGGAGGAAGGGCAGUAAGUUAAUACCUUGCUGUUUUGACGUUACCAACAGAAUAAGCACCGGCUAACUUCGUG